UUGACGUCUCUUUUCCCGCAAAAACUUGUGCGUGACAUUUACUGAAAUUUUAGAAUGUAGCUCAUAAAUUAUUAAAUUCUCUUCAGAAAUAUCUAACUUUACAAGCUCAAAAAAUGUUAAAAUCAGUGAAUCACAAGCAACACAUCAGAACUUUUGAGGCGAAAACGAGAUGUAAUGUUGGAAUUAUUUGUUUCACGUAAACAACGAAGGAACAAAAACUCAUUCGUUUCAUUUCCUUAUGAAAUUUCACAUGCGUAAUUUCUUCGCAUCAAGCGAUGGAUUUAUUCAAAGAGCUUUCAAGAAAGAGAGUUCGAAAAACUGUUUUCAAUGCCAUUUUAAGUUUCUGCAAUUAUUAAAACGUUUGUAGACAUCGAAUUAAAUAUUGAGUUAAUAAUUAAAUAUAACUUGAGUUUUAAAAUUUUUAGAGAGCUCGGAUUAAACUUAAAAUUAUAAUUUUUUUUGGUUAUGUGCAUUAUAAACAAUGCAUUGUCUAAAGUCCUCCAUUUCAUUCAUAAAAAUUAAUUAACUUAAAUUAAAUUAGAUUAUUUUUAU